GCUGCAUUUGUACUGGCAGAGGCCGUCCUCGCCGCCCAGGAGGUCGAGCGCCGCGUUGAGGUAAACGUCGAUCUUGUGCACGCCGUUCCGGAUAGUUUUCAGCGUCAUCCUCCAGUCUGGGGUCUGCGGCGCCUCCUGGCUCCGGGCCGCCGGCGGCCGCGGGCCCACCCAGGCACCCGCCAUCAGCAGCGGCAGCAGCAGCAGGGCGCGGGCCAUGCCCGAGGAGCCGCGCCCCGCGCCGCCGGGCGCUCGCUAAGCCCCCGCCGCGCGGCCGCAGCGCUCCGCACGCACGGCCCGGCCCGCCGCCAUCGGCCCCGCGGGCGCCGCCCCUACGGCUGGGCGGGACUGCGAGCAGGGCGCGGCCUGUUGGAGAAGGCGGCCGGCGUCCGCUCCUGGCCCGGCGCUGCGGUGUGGGGUGCUGGGAGCGGAGCUGCUCCGGGAUCUUUCCACGUGCGAGCGAUUCGCUUUCAGGUGAGGCAGGGUGGAACCACACGGGAAUCGUUCUAAUUUCUGCAACGAAAGCCUUGUUUUAAGACGUGUGGAAUUCCUCAAAAGACGGACAGAGGGAUUUUAGGACACAGGGUUUCCAGACACUGGGAGACCAGUAUAUUGUUUUCUGUGAAAUGGAGAAACGCCUCUGAUCAUCCUUGUUACUUCUUUCUCAGAAAGAUGAGAGGACUGGAACUUGCAGAUACAGUCCCCAUCCAGAAACCUUGCAUUUAUCGCCAGCCUUGAACAUAUGCUCUGACCAGGGGACGCAGGCAGGUGUGCUGUAUUUCAAGGAGCACUCUCCUUUUCCAUGACCUUUCAGCUCCAGCAGAGCGAUGUCAUUUUCAUAAGUUGCAGCAUCAUACUUCUCAUGGAUUAUCAGUUGCUUUAGUCUGUAAGUGUCUGUCUCUCUGUCAUACUGUAUUGUAUCCAACAGCCCAAUCCAGACACGGUAUUGAUGAACUCGAGUUGCUCUGGAAAAGGAGCCAAUGAAAUAUGUUUUGGUACCUCACACAAGCACUGUAUGUUUCAAUUACUCAUAAAUUUUUGCAUUUUAUCAAAGUUUAUGUGGAAUAAAUAUUCAUAUUAUACACGUAUAGUUUCUUUCUGGACUUGUAUGUCGCAGUUGUUCUGAAGGAGGUAGAAGGCUGGUGACACUUAUUGCUGAGUCCUGAAGCUAAUACAGAAAGACAGUACUAAAGGCCAGUGUGUUUAGUGCCCUCACAAAGAGAAAGCAAAGCUUAUGUCUCUGAUAUCAGAUGAAAGAAGAAUGGGCAAAUACACAUGGAACACUGGGCUCGGCAGGUCUUUCCUGCCCACUCCUGCUGGCUCUGGGGAAUAGGUGGCACCAGGGACAUUCUUGGGGGACAGGCACUAGACCUCCCCAGUGCUGAGAGGAGGUAAUUCGUAAUUACUUUUUUGCUCACUGACAAAAUGCUUUGUCUUUGAAUCCCUCCCACUGUUAAUGUGAGCAAAUCAGUGAUUUUAGUUGUGUUAUUGAAUGGGCAAGUAAGAAUUAGCAACCAAGUAGCCGAGAAGAGCAAUAAUGCACAGAUUCAUCUUUUCUACUUUGCAAAGAAAUCAUUUCUCAGGUUGUUGCUUUUACCUGACACAGUGUGCAGCAGUCAGAACCCAACAGCCACCAAUAUAAACCCCUCCACAGUACACUGUUGCACCUUCAGUGCCAGUGUCUUUAAUUGCCACUUGCCAAGGGAAUUCACCCUAUUAAAAUGACAGAAACCCAAAUAAUAUGAAAUCAUCAUUGUGCUAUUUUUUGUGCAUAAAGGGAAACACAAUAUCACUUCAUCUCCUUGACUUAAUCUGCUAUUAAGAAGUUGUCUGUAAUCUGGGCUCUGACAUAAAAGCUCUGUAUUCUAAACUACAGUAACGUUGUUGUCUUCUGACAUUAUGCAGUGUCUCCCUCCCCGCAGCUUUCUGUCAGGAAACUCCUAAAAAAACCAGAUGGAGGAUCUGACCUGGUAUGAUCAAACGUUACAUUUAUGACUAUAAUUAUCAUACAUAGCUAUAGUAUUAAGUAUUUUGCUGGAUUAUUUUCAACACAUACUUGCACUGUAAUGCUGUAUUUUGUAGCUUGGUGUUUUACCUUAUGAACUGUGCUUCUAUUUAUAUUCAUUCAGUGCAUUGUCACUACUAAUGUAAAACAUGAAAUUAAUGUAACUGAUUUUGUUAUUUCCGUACAUUUUAACAGAAGGACAAUAAUAACCAUUUAAAUUGUUACUGAAUGAACACAUGAGCCUAUAUUUGUAAGGUCUGGUUGUGUCUGUGUGUGGGGGGUUAUUAUUAUUUUUUACCUUUCUUGCAGUCUGUCCACCUAUGAUUCUUUUCCGUCGAGUUAAUGUGUGAUUUACAACACCGCAGUUUAUUUGGGGAAGGAAUGUCUUUGCCAGUUUUCUUUCUUUAACAAAAAGGAAGAAUGUGUCUCAGAAUUCAAGUAUUCAUUCUCUCUAUUUGGAGACAGACUUAUCUUUACCUUGAAAUCAUGAGUGCUGUGAGUAUGCAAGUGGCUGAAGUAGCAGGAAAGCAAAAGACCCAGAAUUGUUACAUCUAUUUUUGCUUUGAAAAUUACUUCUGUCUUAGCAUCACAAUAUUUCUGUUUAUUUUUCAUUACUGACAGCAUUCAGGUGAAUAAUUUCAAAGCAGUCGCCGUAGACUUGCUUAGAGUUUACCUCUAUCCGUUGCUAAUAUGUACAGAUGUGGAUCCUGAGGCAGGAUUAAUUAUUAUUGUGGUUGAGAUUAGUGGAAAGCUAGUCAAAUAGUUAAGCCCCAGAGUGUGUACUACUAAGCCACAAAGUCCAUGUAUCUGAGUGUUGCGAAUCUGGCCAACUGGCUGGUAGUUAGAAAGCCACUAAAAAGAGGGUAUACGGUGGUUUGUGGGCCGUUACUUACCUGCAUCCAUACUGUGAUUUUCCUCAUGUUUUGGUUUGCCUGUAGUGGAAUAAUAGAAUACUAAGAACAUUUACAAAUAUUUAUAUUGUUCUGUUACUUGAAUAUUUGGUUGUGUACCAAAAUUAUGGUACAUUUUCAACUGGAUAGGUGCAUAACAUUUCGCAUAGACAGAAAUACUCUGUAAGCAUUGUGCCUGCUGUUUUCUUUUUCCUAGGCACUCAUUGCUGCCAUAGCUUACAAAUGACUGGCAUCCAGCAGAUAUUGAUUUACAACUACAUGAUAUCUAGUCUUCUUUUCUUGUCCAGAGGACCAUUCUGCAAAGAAACCCUGUGAAAUGGCCUCCUUUGUUUUUUGUUUUUUUUUUUAAGUCUCUAAAGCGAUAGACUGCUCUCCUCUACCAGGAAACACCAGAAAUUCCCCCUCCUGCCCCGUCAAUCUUUUGGAGCUUUCUAAAGCCCAAAGGAGCAUUAGGUAAGAAGGUAAGAGGAUAUAUAUUUUUUUAACUUCCAAUUUAGAUGCUGCUGUUCUGUACUCUGUGCCUCCUUUAACAGGGUAAGGGAGGGUAUUCAACACCAGAGGUAAACUAAAUGCUUCCUGAAUCUGGUUUGUCAGCUUUUAUUCAGAGAAAAUACCCAUUGAAUUCACUUCCUAAUUGGAGGCUGAGGAUUGGCUCUAUUCUCAUGUUACUGACAGUAAUGUUUACUUUUAGGGUUCAGUUUACCUUUACCAAUUACUAUGUACCGAAAAUGUUUACUUUUUGGCUUUAGACUUUGUCUCUUAUCUAAAAUAUUCUAAGUUCAAAACAAAACAAGGUAUUUUCAGUGGUAAGGAGAAUAGUACAGAUGAACUAUUAUAUUAACAAACUAGUUAAAUUAAUUCCUUAUACACAAGGAGAAUAUUCCUGCCUGCUGCAUCUACAUUUUCUUCCCAAAAACAGGAUACCGGUUUGAUAGAUGUCCAUGCAUGCAAAGGUUAUAAUCUACUUUAAGCCUCAUAAAACAACAUCUGUUUUUUCUAUCCUUUAGUUUUUUAGUAGAAAGGGAAGGAAAAGUAUGUAACCUUUUCUUAGUCUCCUAGUAUGUGUAACAUAACAUCAGAAAGACUUAACUCUUGCAUGCAUUUUGGUUUUGCUAAUUUGAUAAAUGACUUAAUAACAUGCAUUGUGUAGUCUGUAGGUUUAAUUUAGCAUAACAAAAGCAAAAGAAAGAAAAACACAUCUUAGAAGGAAACCUGAACAGAGAGCUUGAGCUUCAUCCUCUCCUGUUAGGCAGUCAACUUCUUUGUUACACACAUUCUUAUUUGGAAUACAGAUAUUUGAUCGACAGUGGAAACUGUUGUUUCUGCAUUCUGUAAUAUAAAAGAAGUAAAAUGGUAAAGCACAGGACUAUAUGAUUCAGUGACCUCACGUAUUUAGAGGGCUUCUUAAAAUAUAAACUCGAUAAAAUAUCCAUGGUAUGGAUACUUUAAGGGACUUUGCUAUUUAUAAAUAGAUCCUGAAAGUAGGGUCUGUAAGUGUAAAAUGAAGUGAAUACUUGACUCUGCUCAUUUUUCUGUCUUGGUGUUUUAAAAUUUAUGAGUUUAAGAAAGAUCUUAUUUUAGUUUAAGGUAGUUCAUUGGAAAAACAACAACAACAACAACAACAUGGUUUUGUUUGAUUACUGUCAGUUUUGCCCUACUGAAAAUACAUUUAAUUCUGCCUAAUACAGUUGGGUUUUGUUUCUUUGUUUUUGUUUGUAUCAACAGCCUCCUAAGUCUCAGUAUUUUUUUUUAUUAUCAGAAGAAAUCCAGAUCCUCAGAGAUCAGUUGCUUGCUUUGGGAAAUUGCAUUAUUUAUAUUAUUACAAUUAUCUAACUGUAGAAUCAUAGAACUUUUUUGUGCUUUCCUACACAGAAACUAUAGUUUUCUUACCUUAAUACUGUGACUUUGCAAUAGAGACUUCAUUGUUACAUCACUGUAAAAAUUAAUUCUUUGGAGAUGGUUUGUUGCUGAAAUGUUUUUUAAACAGCUGAGAGAAUAAACUAUUACCUUUACAACACAGUUCAUCACUUAAGUCUCCGCAGUCAUUUAUACCGUCACAGGUUUUAGUCACAGAAAUGCACUUGUCAUUUGCACAAUGGAACUCACCAGCUGAACAUUCUGUACAGUGAGAUGAAAAUGAAGUUAGUAUAGAAAUGACUGUAGGUUCACAACUGCCCAAGGAAAUACUCAGCAUACACAUUUUAUUCAUUCGACAGAUUGGCCUCUCAAAAGUAGGCAUCUUAAAGCCUAGUUAAGUAAAUAGGGAUCUUUUUUUUUUUAUUGUUUUCAUUGCCUCCUCUUCAAACUUUCAAUGUGACUCUGUAUUUUCUUCCUCCAACUUUCAGUAACCUGGCAAAAGGGAACUUUGUUUCUUCCAGACAAGGACUAAAGUAGAAACAUUAGCUUCAGUUGAUCUCCCAGAGCAAGAACAAAAGAAGUAGGUUGUCACCUGUCUCCUCAUCAGUUAAACUAGGAGAGACAAGAGUUGUGGGAUAUAAUAUGCUUUGGGAGGGAUGGGGGAACAGCCAGAACCAAGGGUGAAAUUUGUCCACUUUUGGGUAGUAUCUGUCAAGAUAUUCUAGGAGCAACAGUGCAUUAUUUUCCAAAGCUGUAAAUUCAGGAUUGCCUCAGUUGUCUUAAAUGUUUGCAAAAGGAUUAUUUAAAAAAAGAUAAAAAUUAAAAGAUUUCAUUGAUUUCAUUAGUGGCUGAGAUUUCAGCAGAAUAGAUCCUCAAUACAUAUAUUUCAAAUAAACUUAACAUGAAGAGCUGUAAGUAGAUUUAAAGCCAAAAAAACCCUACUAACCUCGGAGAGUUUUCUGGCACUGGAGGCUAACAAAUCCCUCAUUACUAGCUCUUAAUUUCUUCUCUAUGUAACAUUCAGCAAGACUUGUCUCUAGGCCUCUGCAAGUUAUUUGGAAGCAGUGUGAUGGUUCUGUGAUGUUGUAGAUGGUGUGGUAAUAUUCAGCACCUCUGUAAAGAUAAAAAUAAUAACAACAAAUUCUCUAAUUUCACAGUGGAUUGCCCUCUCUUUUUAUUGUUUAGAAUUUAUGAUUUUCCUCAGUGUUAAAGAACUUUGGAUGUGGCUAAGGAAAUAAAAAAAAAAAAAACCAAACAACAGAUUUCCCAUGGAGUGGCGUAAGGGUAAGGAGGAAAGUAGGAGAUAUUUACUUUGGAAGAAAAGGUUCAACAAAGUGCAUCAUAGAGCUGGCACUGAAUAUGUGACAUUCUUAUCUGUUCCUGUGUAUGGUGAUAGAUAGAAACCAUCUUGCAUGAGGCUGAGUACCGGUGGUAUCAUCAAAACCAAUGCAUAUUGAGGAAGCUUAGGCCAUUGCGAGAUUGGCAUUUAUUAAACACCUGAAUGCAAUCCUCUAACAGUGUGUCUCUCUUCUCUCUUAAGAAAAUAAGGAAUGAAUAAAUAAAUAAUUGGAGAGACUUGCAGUGGGAGUCAAGGGCUGAAUGCUCUGUCCCAGAACAAACCUCUCUCUAUGCUAUCUAAAGAGGUAUGAAUCAGGACUGGGAAAUAUUUAAUUCUCAUCUACAGGGGACAGAUUUAGGCACUGUGGUAGCAUUCUUAGUUUCUGUGUAGAGUUGGAGAGGCAGUCCUAUUUGGCUCAGUUAUGCUAUUGCUUAAAAUGAUUAUGUACAGGAUAUAGAGUUGAUUCUUUAUGAUGACCUCAACAUGUAACUCAGAUCAUUGGUGUGGUCUUGGGAAAAAGAACAAGCUGUUUGUGGCCUCAGCUGUUUCUGGUGGGCAAAGCAAGCAAUGGUGGCAGGUCAGGAGAUGAAGAAAAAGAGCUGUGUUCUGGUUCUUGUUAGUCUGGCUGCUGCGAGUGGCAAAACACAGCUGUACCGUUUGGCUAGCCAGUUUAAGAAACUUUUCUCUAUAUGCAAUUCAUUGAUCAGAGCCACCUGGGGAUUGUCCAUCUAUGCACUUUCCCUUAUACAGACCUGAGAGAAAACUCAUCUAUCAGACUUCAACUUUAUUUUAAAAGUAAAAUAUUAAUCAUUUGAACAGUUGUUAUUUGUACGAAAAUGCAGAAAUCUGCUCUGGCUUUUGCUUUCAAGAAGCUUUACUGUAACCGAUAUAUUGUUCAUGAAUUUUCUCUUAAUAGUUGGCUGACUGACUGACCCUUAUAUAAGCAUCACUAUUUGUUCACAUCCAUUGCAGUCACAGAGAGAGAAAUUCCCUGAACUUACAAUUCAAAGCCAAGGUGUCUGCAGGCCACAUUUGCUUCAUUCAUUGUCCACAUACUGUCACAUACAAAAAGGUCCUCAUUAUUCACAGGUUUUACUUGGAGCAAAUGUGAAUCAUUGUAGACCAAGGAGAUUUUAAAUGUUUCUAAAAAAAAAAAAAAGAAAUUAAAAAAUUCCCUUAUAAAAUUGUAUUCUAUGGAUGUAUGUAGUGGAAAGACAGCACAGGAAGAAACCAGACCUAAAGUAUGUUGUUGGCAUCCAGAGUUCAUAUGGAAUGAACAGUAGGUUGGGGAUCAGAAGCUUAAGGUAUUACUGACAUUAUGGCUUUGAGCCUGCUGCUUUUUCAAAUAUACCAGCUUCAGAUCAAAUGAAGAUAACAGUUCCUGUCCUGGAAGCAUACUUGAAGGUCUUCUGAGGAAAGGUUGCAUCUUAGUGUAAGACUUUUGUUAGAGGACUUUCAGUAAUCAAACAAAUGAAUGACUGAUACCUUUUGAAAAAAAGAGAUAUUAAUACCUGUGGACAUGCAUUUUCCCUUGUUCAGAAACUUUGCUUCGGAACGUUGACACUCAAAGCUCUUUAGGUGGCAAUAAGUAUAAAAGUUCUUUCCAGUGGUAGAACAAACUGAAGUGCCGUUCUUUGGACACUGGUAGGGAAGCUUACAGAGGCAUUUUCCCUCCACACAUCGUUCCCAUGGGUGACAAAAAACUUUCUUACAGGACUUGUGUGUGUAUUUGUUGCUUAAACAUUCUUCUAUAAGGUAAGUGUCUCGCUCAGCUGGCUGACUGUCUUGCUCAACUGGCUGAGCAGGCUCAACGUAUGAAGACUGUUCUUCUGUAUCAUUAGAUGAUUCAUUCUGCAAGGCACAAAUUAAAAAAAAAUGCCAAAACCAAAUAGUGAACAGGACUGGAGAUGGCACCAGCAGUUCUGCAGAUCCCUUGCAUACGUCAGCAGAGUGAUUGGGAGCCUUUUCCUAUCUUGUAAAAAUGGAAGUGCUAAAUAUCAUCUAUAGUGUUUAUCCCCUUGUCUUUGAGAUAUCCACCUUUCUGUUUUUCUGGAUUUUUUUUCUUUUUUCUUUUUCAGAUCAUUCCCCUGGUGUGAUUUUCACUCUUCCUGGUCACCCACAAGCUAUACUCUUCAAAAAUCAGCUGAAGUGCACAACAGAUGAUAAACAUUUCAAGCCAGUGGUUUAUAGCACACCACAACAAUGGAACUGUGAGCAAAUUAAAAUAUAAGGGGACUUCACAGAAUCACACAGAAUGGCCUGGGUUGGAAGGGACUUCAAGGAUCAUGAAUCUCCAACCCACCCCCCUGCCCCCCCGGCACUGGCAGGGCCACCAACCUCUACAUUUAAUACUAGAGCAGGCUGCCAAGAGCCCCGUCCAGCCUAGCCUUGAACACCUCCACGGAUGGGGGAUCCACAACCUCUCUGGGCAGCCUGUUCCAGCACCUUACCACUCUCACAGUAAAGAACUUGCCCCUGACAUCCAACCUAAAUCUUCCCUCCUUCAACUUAAAACCAUUUCCCCUUGUCCUGCUAUUAUCUCCCCUUUCAAAGAAUUGACUCCCCUAACUUGGCUUAAACACCAGAAAAAUGAAAUUAAAAAAAAAAGAGUAGCAACUUGAUUUUUUUUCAAGACCUUUUUAUUGUCCCAGUUGACCCAGUUGACAUAACUAUAGCCAAUAACUACUUAGAAACAAAUAAAUCUAAAAUUGAAGAUGUGUUUCAUUGCAAGUAACAAGUAUUAAGUAUCUUCAACAAAUGUGAAAAUUAAGUGCCCUUCCCAGUCUGUUUUGUUCCCAUAUCUUGGAUGGCAGUGGGUUUGCAGUGUGGUUUCUGGUUGUUGUGGACUGCAAGGAGUGCUCCUUAUCCCUCCAUCUGACCAUCUGUCUCUAGGUGAGUGAUAACACCUAUCCUGGCAGCUCUCUGGUUAUUCCAUUGCUGGCUGAGUGCUUUUGCUCACUAAGAUGUGUGUGCAGGGGGAAUGUUGAAAUGUGAAAAAUAUGUAGCUAGACUUUGCAUAAAGAUGAGAAAGAAAUGUCAGUUGUCAGAUCGGAUUUAUCGGCUUUGAGUGCAUCCACUGAAUCAACAGAGCCAAAGUUUAAAGUUCUCGUGAAGAAAUCCUGGCCUAAGUAAAGGCAGUGGGAAUGUCGCCAGGGCUGAAUUUAUUCCGAGCCCCUCCCACCCUUUUAAGGGCUGUAUAAUCUUAAUAAAUUCUUCCUGUUCUUCUCAGGUCAGUAGAAUCCUAUGCAUUAUCUUUAGAUUUACAUACCAAACUCUGAGCCAGGCCCGGCUUGGCAUAACUCCUGUAUUGCACUAGAUGUUUCUCUUUAGCUCUGACAGAAUAGCAACAAAAGGGGCUGAUCUUUACCUACGGGUUUUUCUUGGAAAGCUCAGGCUAUGCUGAACAUGGAGCCCAUCAGGACUCCUUGAGAGGCUUUUGCCAGAAGAGAUUUUACAACAAAAGCUUUCUGAGCUGAGCCACACUUGCAGGUUGGGUUUAGCAUAGCAUCCCGAUUAAAAGAUUUUCCAAAAGGCUGUUAAUGUAAACCUCAGAUAGAACCGAUAUACAGAGGAGAAACAGCAAGAUUCACAUUUUCAAGCUGGACUAAAACAAAUGUACGAAAUGCAGAUGCUGCAAAAGGAAAUUAAAAAAGACUUUGUUUUUAUAAUAAUAAAUUGUUUUAACUGUUUGCUGUUGGUUGGUUUGUUUUUAAAAUAAGGGGAUACCACAAUAAAAUAAGUUCUUACCUGUGCUCGACAGAAAGAAAAGAGAGAGAAGCAAACCAAGAGAACUGCAACCACUCUCAUGAUGAGGUUUUAUGUCUUUGUAGAGAAAUUCCCCUGGCCGGGACUUUCCCAAUUGCCAGUCGUUAGGUUUGUGUUUAAUUUUUAACCUUUGGUAAAACACUCUGAAGUGGACUCAGAAACAACUACGGGAGCCUUAGAUAUCAACGGAUGAGUCUGCUCUCUCCACACGGAUCCCACCCCAUUUAACCUGUUUUACUGUAAAUAGAGACCAAAGGGAAGCCCUUGAAGCCAACGGUUACAAGGGAGUGCUCAGCAGGGUCUCUCGCUCCCCGCCUGCUGCCAACGCAGACCGAUGGAGCCGCGGGCCGAUCUCCUGGCAGCAGGCACCCCGCUCUGCAGGGAGCUGUUAGGGCAGGUGCGUUCUUAGGUGAGAUACGUGUGUCUGUAUGCAGGCAGGCAAACGGAACGGAUCAACUCCACUAUCUCCGUGCGAGAGCGUAACCGGCGGAGCCUUGCUCAGAGAACUGUUGGGGCAGUGGCCAAUCCACUGCAUCCCACCUGCGGGCGGUUUCCGGGAGAACCGCGGUCUCGGCCGGCACAACGGAACGGCUCCUGCGA
rnacentral:lncRNA from 1 species